rnacentral:lncRNA from 1 species
UGGAUAAUGAUUGAACACGUGGAUGGUUUAGAUUUGCUAUGUUUUGUUUUUCAUUGACUUUUAAAGUGUAUUUUGAGGUUUUGAGUAGUAGAUUUUAAAGGUAUAAGGUUUAGGUAAAAUGAAGAGUUUGGGGUUUGCUUUUGAGUCAAAUUGGACUUAUUCAAACUCCUAGGUUGCUUGGUUGGUCAAUAGUGAAAAUAGGUAGAUUUGAGUUUU